rnacentral:rRNA from 1 species
UACGUAGGGUGCGAGCGUUGUCCGGAAUUACUAGGCGUAAAGCGCAGGUAGGCGGUUGGAUAAGUUUCUUGUGAAAGCUCCCGGCUUAACUGGGAGAGGCCAAGGAAUACUAUCUGACUUGAGUAUGGUAGGGGUAACUGGAAUUCCCGGUGUAGCGGUGAAAUGCGUAGAGAUGCGGAGGAACACCGAUGGCGAAGGCAGCCCCCUGGGCUAACACUGACGCUCAGGCACGAAAGCGUGGGGAGCAAACAGG